rnacentral:tRNA from 5 species
GCCAAGGUAGCUCAGCAGGUAGAGCGGCGGUAUCGUAAACCGCAGGUAGUGGGUUCGAGUCCCACCCUUGGCUCUA